CAGUUGAAGGGUCUCUCUAGGUUGUAGUAAUCCCGGCAGAGGCGCACAAAACAUGUAACAAAUGAUAAAUCGAUCUACAGCGAAUGCUUUUAUUAUCUCACCGAGGACUGACAGGAGUUCAAUUUAUUUUCGCAUGGCUUUGUGGUUCAAUGGUGGCAAAGUUCAGAGGGAUUGUUUAUUAGCGUCGGCGUAAUUGAAUAUCUUUCAUCCAGUCCUGUCUUGCGCCUGGAGGUAUGUAAAAUGGAAUGAAAUAGGUGUAGUAAAACAUACUCUCGUGUCUUACAUUGCGAAGCUCC